rnacentral:rRNA from 1 species
UUAAGCUAUAAAGAGCACAGGGCGGAUGCCUAGGCACUGGGAGCCGAAGAAGGACGUGAUAAGCUGCGAAAAGCCGCGGGGAGGAGCAAAUAUCCAUUGAGCCGCGGAUGUCCGAAUGGGGAAACCCACUUGAGCAGACCUCAAGUACCCAUGCGCCAAUCCAUAACGCAUGGGAGGGAACCCGGGGAACUGAAACAUCUAAGUACCCGGAGGAAGAGAAAGAAACAUCGAUUUCCCAAGUAGCGGCGAGCGAACGGGAAAGAGCCCAAACCACGGAAUUUAUUCUGUGGGGUUAGGACUGCAUAAUUGAUUUGCGAUUGAUAGGAGAACGGUCUGGGAAGUCCGGCGAAAAAGCGUGAAAGCCGCGUAUCCGAAAUCGAAAGCAACAUGGCAGGAUCCAGAGUACCACGAGACACGUGAAACCUUGUGGGAAUGAGCGGAGACCACUCCGUAAGGCUAAAUACUACCCAGUGACCGAUAGCGCAUAGUACUGUGAAGGAAAGGUGAAAAGGACCCCGGGAGGGGAGUGAAAGAGAACCUGAAACCCUGUGUUUACAAGCUGUCGGAGCACUAUAUAUGUGCGACGGCGUACUUUUUGUAGAACGGUCCGGCGAGUUAUGGCAUGUGGUAAGGUUAAGUACUUCAGGUACGGAGCCGAAGCGAAAGCGAGUGUGAAAAGCACGUUCUAAUCGCCUGUCAUAUACCCGAAACCGGGUGAUCUAUCCAUGUCCAGGAUGAAGUUGCCGUAAAAGGCAAUGGAGGUCCGAACACACAUCCGUUGAAAAGGGUGGUGAUGAGGUGUGGAUAGGGGAGAAAUUCCAAUCGAACCCGGAGAUAGCUGGUUCUCCUCGAAAUAGCUUUAGGGCUAGCCCAUGACAAGUCUGCCGCAGGUAGAGCACUGAAUUUCCUAGGGGGCGUCAAAGCCUACCGAAGAAUAUCAAACUCCGAAUGGCGGCCAGAUGGUGUCAUGGAGUCAGACUGCACGAGAUAAGUUGGGUGGUCAAAAGGGAAAGAGCCCAGACCCACAGCUAAGGUCCCAAAGUGCGUGUUAAGUGGAAAAGGAUGUGGGAUUUCGAAGACAACUAGGAUGUUGGCUCAGAAGCAGCCACACAUUAAAAGAGUGCGUAAUAGCUCACUAGUCGAGAGGUCCUGCGCCGAAAAUGUCCGGGGCUGAAACACGACACCGAAGCUUGGGAAUCCUACGGGAUUGGUAGAGGAGCAUUGAAGACGGGACGAAGCGUAACCGUAAGGAUACGUGGACUGUCUUGAAGAGAGAAUGCCGGAAUGAGUAGCGAGAAUGAAGUGAGAAUCUUCAUGGCCGAAUAUCUAAGGUUUCCAGGGUAAAGCUGAUCUGCCCUGGGUAAGUCGGGACCUAAGGCGAGGUCGAAAGACGUAGCCGAUGGACAACAGGUUGAAAUUCCUGUACUGCAUUAAAUCAGAACUGUGGGGACACAGAAGGAAGGCAUGAGCCGGAAAAGGAAAAUCCGGUGCAAGCAUGGGAGGGGUAUGACAGGCAAAUCCGUCAUGCAACCCGAGAAUGUGACGCGGAGCGAACAAAAGUAGCGAAGCAUGCUUACCGGCUGUCGAGAAAAGCCGCUAUUGCGUUUAAUGUACCCGUACCGUAAACCGACACAGGUGGAUGAGGAGAGAAUCCUAAGGCCGGCGGGAGAAGCAUUGUUAAGGAACUCGGCAAAAUGACCCCGUAACUUCGGGAGAAGGGGUGCUCUUAGAAAUAAGAGCCGCAGAGAAUUGGCCCAAGCAACUGUUUAGCAAAAACACAGGUCUAUGCAAAACCGAAAGGUGAGGUAUAUGGGCUGACGCCUGCCCGGUGCUGGAAGGUUAAGAGGAGAGGUCAGAGCAAUCGAAGCCUUGAAUUUAAGCCCCAGUAAACGGCGGCCGUAACUAUAACGGUCCUAAGGUAGCGAAAUUCCUUGUCGGGUAAGUUCCGACCCGC